CGAAUGCUGACAUGAGUAACGUUAAAGCGGGUGAAAAGCCCGCUCGCCGUAAGCCCAAGGUUUCCUGCUCUACGUUCAUCGGAGCAGGGUGAGUCGGCCCCUAAGGCCAGGCUGAGAAGCGUAGUCGAUGGGAAUCAGAUUAAUAUUUCUGAACCGUGUUCGAGUGCGAUGGGGGGACGGAGUGCAGAAGAUCAUCCGGGUGUUGGAUAUCCCGGUUUGUGAGGGGAGAAGGCCGGUAGGCAAAUCCGCCGGCGAAUCUUCAAGCCAAAGCAUCGGGCCAUCGAGAGAUGGUGAAGUGAUCGGAAGGACUUCCAGGAAAGGCCUCUAAGCUCCAGCUCGAACAUGACCGUACCGCAAACCGACACUGGUGGGCGAGUUGAAUAUACUCAGGCGCUUGAGAGAACUCGGGAGAAGGAACUCGGCAAAUUGACACCGUAACUUCGGGAAAAGGUGUGCCUUUGUAGCGUGAAGAGAGAAACACUCGGAGCGCGAAGAGGUCUCAGUAAAUAGGUGGCUGCAACUGUUUAUUAAAAACACAGCACUCUGCAAAGACGAAAGUCGACGUAUAGGGUGUGAUGCCUGCCCGGUGCUGGAAGAUUAAGUGAUGGGGUGCAAGCUCCUGAUCGAAGUCCCAGUAAACGGCGGCCGUAACGAUAACGGUCCUAAGGUAGCGAAAUUCCUUGUCGGGUAAGUUCCGACCUGCACGAAUGGCAUAAUGAUGGCCACACUGUCUCCUCCCGAGACUCAGUGAAGUUGAAAUGUUUGUGAUGAUGCAAUCUCCCCGCGGCUAGACGGAAAGACCCCAUGAACCUUUACUGUAGCUUUGCAUUGGACUUUGAACCGAUUUGUGUAGGAUAGGCGGGAGGCAGUGAAGCAGGUACGCCAGUAUCUGCGGAGCCGACGUUGAAAUACCGCCCUGAUUUGUUUGAGGUUCUAACCGCGAUCCGUAAUCCGGGUCCGGGACCGUGCAUGGUAGGCAGUUUGACUGGGGCGGUCUCCUCCUAAAGGGUAACGGAGGAGUACAAAGGUACGCUAGGUACGGUCGGAAAUCGUGCUGAUAGUGCAAUGGCAAAAGCGUGCUUGACUGCGAGACCGACAAGUCGAGCAGAUGCGAAAGCAGGUCAUAGUGAUCCGGUGGCUCUGUAUGGAAGGGCCAUCGCUCAACGGAUAAAAGGUACUCUGGGAUAACAGGCUGAUACCGCCCAAGAGUUCAUAUCGACGGCGGUGUUUGGCACCUCGAUGUCGGCUCAUCUCAUCCUGGGGCUGUAGCCGGUCCCAAGGGUAUGGCUGUUCGCCAUUUAAAGAGGUACGUGAGCUGGGUUUAAAACGUCGUGAGACAGUUUGGUCCCUAUCUGCCGUGGGCGUUGGAAGAUUGACAGGGGCUGCUCCUAGUACGAGAGGACCGGAGUGGACGCACCUCUGGUGUACCGGUUGUCACGCCAGUGGCAUCGCCGGGUAGCUAUGUGCGGAAGAGAUAACCGCUGAAAGCAUCUAAGCGGGAAACUUGCUUGAAGAUAAGUCUUCCCGGAGGCCAGACCUCCCUGAAGAGUCGUUCGAGACCAGGACGUUGAUAGGUCGGGUGUGCAAGCGCUGUGAGGCGUUGAGCUAACCGAUACUAAUUGCUCGUGAGGCUUGAUC
rnacentral:rRNA from 1 species